rnacentral:rRNA from 1 species
UACGUAGGGUGCGAGCGUUGUCCGGAAUUACUGGGCGUAAAGAGCUCGUAGGUGGUUUGUCGCGUUGUCCGUGAAAACUCACAGCUCAACUGUGGGCGUGCGGGCGAUACGGGCAGACUGGAGUACUGCAGGGGAGACUGGAAUUCCUGGUGUAGCGGUGGAAUGCGCAGAUAUCAGGAGGAACACCGGUGGCGAAGGCGGGUCUCUGGGCCGAUACUGACGCUGAGGAGCGAAAGCGUGGGGAGCGAACAGG